rnacentral:rRNA from 1 species
ACUCCUACGGGAGGCAGCAGUGAGGAAUAUUGGACAAUGGGCGCAAGCCUGAUCCAGCCAUGCCGCGUGCAGGAUGACGGUCCUAUGGAUUGUAAACUGCUUUUAUACGAGAAGAAACAACUCUACGUGUAGAGUCUUGACGGUAUCGUAAGAAUAAGGAUCGGCUAACUCCGUGCCAGCAGCCGCGGUAAU